AUGCCAUAGUACGGCCAUUUCCUCAACARCUCUUUAAACCUUUCCCACGCKUCAGGAACAGCCUCAUCGUCCAUUUGUUUAAAAAGACAGAUUUCGUUCCUGGACUU